UGGAAGAGUGGCAGAGUGGCCGAUUGCAUCUGUUUCGAAAACAGAAGUUGGGCAACCAACCGGGGGUUCAAAUCCCUCCUCUUCCGA
rnacentral:tRNA from 1 species